rnacentral:rRNA from 1 species
UUUAAAGAGAGUUUGAUCCUGGCUCAGGACGAACGCUGGCGGCGUGCCUAAUACAUGCAAGUCGAACGAACGGAGGAAGAGCUUGCUCUUCCAAUGUUAGUGGCGGACGGGUGAGUAACACGUGGGCAACCUGCCUGUAAGUUGGGGAUAACUCCGGGAAACCGGGGCUAAUACCGAAUGAUAAGAU